rnacentral:rRNA from 1 species
GACCUGCCACCACCCGGGGAUGAGAAGCUUCGGUUGUAAGCUUUUUUUAGGAGAACGGUUUGGUAUGAAGUUCCACAGGGCUGUCCUAACAGAAAGGAGGGUAAUUAGGGCCCGCAGCCGGGUAAAGGGGGUCCCGAGUUUUCGGAUUUUUGGGUUAAAGCAGCGCGGGUCUAGAAAUUCUAAGAAAACCCAGGGCUCACCGUAGUGGCUUUGAAACUGUUGACUUGAUUCAGAAGGGAGAGUGAAUUCCAUGGUAGCGGGAAAUGCGUAGAUAUUGGAGGAACCCCGGGGCGAAAGCGGCUCUCUGGUCUGUACUGACGUCAGGCUGAAAGCGUGGGAGCGAACAGGUUAGAUACCCGGUAGUCCACGCCGUAAACGAUGAGUGCUAGGUGUUGGUCCUUUCCGGGAGUUUUGCCACAGCUAACGCAUAAGCACUCCGCCUGGGGAGUGCGCCCGCAAGGUUAAUCUCAAGGGAAUUGACGGGGGCCCGCACGAGCGGGGGCGCAUGUGGUUUAAUUAGAAGCAACGCGAAGCACCUCACCAUGUCUUCACAUCCCUCUGCCCACUCUAGAGAUAGAGUUCCCUUUCGGGGCAGAGGUCACAGGUGGCGCAUGGUUGUUGUCAGCUCGUGUCGUGAGAUGGUGGGUUAAGUCCCGCAACGAGCGCACCCCUUCUUGUUAGUUCCCCUCAUUCAGUUGGGCACUCUAGGGAGACUGCCGGUAAUAAACCGGAGGAAGGUGGGGAUGACGUCAAAUCAUCAUGCCCCUUAUGACUUGGGCUACACACGUGCUACAAUGGCUGGUACAACGAGUCGCAAGCCGGUGACGGCAAGCUAAUCUUUGAAAGCCAGUCUCAGUUCGGAUUGUAGGUUGCAACUUGCCUACAUGAAGUUGGAAUCGCUAGUAAUUGCGGAUCAGCACGCCGCGGUGAAUACGUUCCCGGGCCUUGUACACCCCGCCCGUCACCCCCCGAGAGUUUGUAACACCCGAAGUCGGUGAGGUAACCGUAAGGAGCCAGCCGCC